AUCUGCCAUCUAUUACUUUUUUUUUUUCCCCUCUUAUCUCAGAAGUUAAGUAGGGUCGGGCCUGGUUAGUACUUGGAUGAGAGACCGCCUGGAAAUACUAGGUGCUGUAGAUU
rnacentral:rRNA from 1 species